rnacentral:rRNA from 1 species
AUUGAACGCUGGCGGCAGGCCUAACACAUGCAAGUCGAGCGAGUGGCGGACGGGUGAGUAAUGUCUGGGGAACUGCCCGAUGGAGGGGGAUAACUACUGGAAACGGUGGCUAAUACCGCAUACCAUCGGAUGUACCCAUAUGGGAUUAGCUAGUAGGUGGGGUAACGGCUCACCUAGGCGACGAUCCCUAGCUGGUCUGAGAGGAUGAUCAGCCACACUGGAACGGAGACACGGCCCAGACUCCUACGGGAGGAAGCAGUGGGGAAUAUUGCACAAUGGGCGAAAUCCUGAUGCAGCCAUGCCGCGUGGAUGAAGAAGGCCUUGGGGUUGUAAAGUACGUUCAGCGGGGAGGCGGUACCCGCAGAAGAAGCACCGGCUAACUCCGUGCCAGCAGCCGCGGUAAUUC